GUCACAAUGGUGGACUGUCCAGGUAGUGGCUCAGGAGGGAGGUCCACGUCACAAUGGUGGACUGUCCAGGUGCUGGCUCGGGAGGGAGGUCCACGUCACAAUGGUGGACUGUCCAGGUAGUGGCUCAGGAGGGAGGUCCACGUCACAAUGGUGGACUGUCCGGGUAGUGGCUCGGGAGGGAGGUCCACGUCACAAUGGUGGACUGUCCAGGUGCUGGCUCGGGAGGGAGGUCCACGUCACAAUGGUGGACUGUCCGGGUAGUGGCUCGGGAGGGAGGUCCACGUCACAAUGGUGGACUGUCCAGGUACUGGCUCAGGAGGGAGGUCCACGUCACAAUGGUGGACUGUCCAGGUGCUGGCUCAGGAGGGAGGUCCACGUCACAAUGGUGGACUGUCCGGGUACUGGCUCGGGAGGGAGGUCCACGUCACAAUGGUGGACUGUCCAGGUAGUGGCUCAGGAGGGAGGUCCACGUCACAAUGGUGGACUGUCCAGGUGCUGGCUCGGGAGGGAGGUCCACGUCACAAUGGUGGACUGUCCGGGUAGUGGCUCGGGAGGGAGGUCCACGUCACAAUGGUGGACUGUCCAGGUGCUGGCUCGGGAGGGAGGUCCACGUCACAAUGGUGGACUGUCCAGGUGCUG
rnacentral:lncRNA from 1 species